rnacentral:rRNA from 1 species
UACCAGCACCCCGAGUGGUCGGGACGAUUAUUGGGCCUAAAGCAUCCGUAGCCGGUUCUACAAGUCUUCCGUUAAAUCCACCUGCUUAACAGAUGGGCUGCGGAGGAUACUAUAGGGCUAGGAGGCGGGAGAGGCAAGCGGUACUCAGUGGUAGGGGUAAAAUCCUCUGAUCCAUUGAAGACCACCAGUGGCGAAGGCGGCUUGCCAGAACGCGCUCGACGUGAGGGAUGAAAGCUGG